UACGUAGGGUGCAAGCGUUAAUCGGAAUUACUGGGCGUAAAGCGUGCGCAGGCGGUGAUGUAAGACAGAUGUGAAAUCCCCGGGCUCAACCUGGGAACUGCAUUUGUGACUGCAUCGCUGGAGUGCGGCAGAGGGGGAUGGAAUUCUGCGUGUAGCAGUGAAAUGCGUAGAUAUGCGGAGGAACACCGAUGGCGAAGGCAAUCCCCUGGGCCUGCACUGACGCUCAUGCACGAAAGCGUGGGGAGCAAACAGG
rnacentral:rRNA from 1 species